UGAACCCGAACUCGAAGGUGCGGAUCCAUGUAUUGCGCUUGACCCAGGCAAGAUCCGACCCGGAAUACUGGGCCGGGCUUCUUGUCGCGUGUAAUUGUCUCUAGAAGGUUCUUCGCUAAGUCGCCAGUUCCUUGAAGAUACAUAUAUCGUCGGUACUCUAAUGCCAUGGUUCCGUCGCCUGGUCACAACCCGCCUCUACCCUCACCGUCUUUGAAUCCGAGCUCCAGCACAAGGUAACGCUAUGGGCAAUCCAAUUGAUCCCGGGAUAUUCCAUCCUUGCAACUUGGUGGUCUCUUCUUUCUGUCCCCACCUCCCAAAGUAUUUUUUUUUUAAAUAUAUGUAAUUUCUUAAUCAGGGACUAGAGGAGUUGAUAGAGUUCCCUCUGUAGGAUGAGGAAUACAACUUAUCCUUGCCUUAUUGGCAAGUUUAUGAGCUAAGAAAUUCGUUUGUCUGUCGAUAUGAAUCCAGUCUAAGACAUUGACCUCCUUAGCUAUCAUGUGAAUAUCCUUACAAAUGUUAUACAAGAACCCAGGAGUAGAAUUUGAUUGGUUGAGGAUGAGAUUUAUUUCCAGUGUAUCAGACUUGUCAACAAGAUUCUACAGGUUCAUUGAUUGCAAGUGCUGCAGGCUUCAUGUGAGUUACUGCUGGUGGCAAUCUCGACCCCAUCUAAGUUUAAAGACAGGAGAGUAAAAUGAGUAUGAACCAUCACAAAAAAUGAGAGCUUGUAGGUUCCCUAGAGUAUGGAGAAGUUUGUGGGGGACAUGAUUUCUCUCUGGAGGGAAGGUUGACAUCGUUGAAGAGUGAUAAGACUUUAAACUAUAGAAAGGAUUGUUGGAUUCGAUGAUUUGAGUAUUUAGAAUGGCAAGGUGAGCAUUAUGACUCAAGUGAGUUCUUUCCUUCAAGCAAAAAUCAGUGGCACAGUCAUUCAAGAAUUUGAAGGUGCAUGUUUGGAUUAAAAAAUAUUCCAGGUUGCGACAUGCUGAAGGGUCUGCACUCUCUAGAAAAGCUAGUACUGCAGGCCUCCCAGCCGCAUAUGAUCAAAUUCACAAGAGCAUACUGAAUUAUGAUGGCUGACGCUAGAAAUAGUUGUUGGCUCUAAACACCCAUGGAAACAAGAGAACCUUAGAGCAAGUGAUAGAAGGUGGUGAAAGCGAGAACACCUUGCUAUUAUGAAGAUCUUUAUCGAUUACCCCAAGUAGUAACUUAAAAAAUGGGUAAGGGUUCGUAAUUUAAGAUUAAGCUGAAUAUAUAUAUAUAUAUAUAUAUAUAUAUAUAUAUAUAUAUCGCCACUUGCACAGAAAUGCCAACUUGAAUGGUGGGUUAUCUUGAUCCUAGUAGUCUUGCGAAUAUGCAUCGCCCCUUGCACAGUAAUACCAACAAGAAUGGUGGGUCAGGUUCUUGUUUGUAGGGAACCUGGACAAGGGUUGCUGGCCAAUUGAAGUUUUAUAAUGAUGUUUCUAUAGUCUAGGAUCUCCUUUAGCUGUAUCAUUUUUAUCUAUUCUCUUAUCUGCAACAUGGAUAUAUGUUCAGAUAUAGAUGUGUAAUCUGGAUUCUUCCCCACUUCUCAUGACUAUCCAGUUGCAUUGAUCAACUUGUGGGCGAUUCUAGAGUUGAAAUGGUGGGGUAUUUAACUCUAUAAAUCAAUUUAAAUCGGUUUUCUGUGUCUAUUUCAGACCCAUAUCUUUAUCUCAGUUGAGCAGAAUUUUCUUGAUAUGGAUGGAACGUUGGGAAUCUGUUUAGGUCUGGAUAUUUUGCAAAGUUGGAUGUAGAUUAAUUAAAGCCAUGAUAUGAGAAUAUGUUUAGAAAUAUCAUCAUUACAAAUUAGUUCUUUGUGAUUUGGAUUCUGCAUAUAUUUAUAUAUUGGCGCAAUAUAUAUUUAUAUAUUGGAACAACCUUUUUCGACUUGGUUCCAUUUGAUUUUUCUGAACUUUUCAAUUAACUUUGAAUAAAUUUUUACAUGAUUGUUUAUGGAAUAUAAUUACACGGUAAUUGUUUUUAACAACAUGGGAAACGUAUUGCCUUUAACUGAUUUGGUUGGAGUAACGAUCGAUUUUCAUUGGAUCCUACAAUAGUGGACUCAGAAUGGGUUAAGAGUGAGAGCUCAACACAGUUAUCACCCCAUUAAGAGUAGAGGUUACAUUGUAUAGUUGUCCUUCAUAUCUGGCUAUAGUAAUUCCCACACCUGGCCCCAUGGCUUUGCUUACUAGUGAAGACCAUCAACGGUCCUGGAAUUCGUAUCAACUUCCGCGUAGAUAUGAAGCAUACGAGGACAGCCUACUGACAUGCCGGAGCAUCCACCAAUUUCAGACCAUCCACUAUCUGGGAUGCACGGAGCUCAUAUGUUUCCCACCACACCAGAAGCCACCAGCUCAAAAUAUCUUCUAAUAAAACACUCGUUAUUUGUCGUUCGAAGGCGCACGGCCAUGCCAACACGUAAAUGAAGUCUCUUACGAAUGGUUACGGGCCACGGCAUCGCGCAUGCAUGACCACAGAUGGUAAGCACGCGACACCUGGUGGGGCGAAAUAGGUAACUGGAGCAGAAGCGUCGGCAAUACCGACUCGAAGAUGCGAUGCAUGCACACUGAAGGCCACUCUUGGAAGAUGUGAAAGCGUUGGUGGGAGCUGAUGGCCAACGUCCCGCCUCAACGUGACGCGUCGCAUCAUUCCCAGUGCCACCGAGAUAAGAAGAUGAAGCCACUCUUCAUCUCAAAUAACAAAAGGACAUCAAAAAACAGAGAGAAAAAUAGAGACGAAAAAAUAGUAGGGGAUAUAAUUCCCAAGACCCAAUCAACUUGAUUUCUGAUACUAAGAAGAGGGGGAUAAUAUGCCAAGAAGAUUCCAUAGAAGUAGACCAUCCCCCCAUCUUUUGAACGGAGAAGACGGGGAAGAAGGAAUCCUAGUGGUGGAAAACGCUGCUACAAAACUAAACAAUUGGAGUUGACUGACCCCACGUAGAUUCUCGUUCAGCACGAAAUGUGUUGGUGGCCUCCUUGUCAUAACCCUCGGGGAAUAUUACUUCGUACAAACCAAAGUUCGAAUUCAACAACUGUCGCAUAUAGGAACAUGUGUUCUUGCAAUGUUAUGGAACCAACCUUAAAGCUUGGAUGUAAGUUGGCUGGCAAGUAUUUUCAUCCUCUUUUCAUAUGGAAAUGACUAAUAACUUUAAGAUACAAUAGAUGGGAAGUUAUCCUGGCAACCUUUGAUUGUCGAAUGCCCGAAACCAAUCUCAAUUCUUUCUUCCAUGAAUGUUUGAGGACUCGAUUUACUAAGUGUUUACUAAGAAAACACAAAAAAGGGAAUCUAAUUGAUCUUUACGUAUCAAGGUUUGCCGCCAGGCUGGAAACCAAAAGGAGAAGGGCAUUUUCGAUAAUUCUGUAUUAGUUUAUUCUUCUUCGUAGGGGCCCGCUUCAUGACUACACCUCCCGUCGUUUCCUACGCGGCGCCCAUCCCUUACGUUCGGCUCACUGCUACCAAUGACUGCUGUCCUCCUUACCUUCACUCGGUCUCCUCACCAUCAACUUUUGCCUAAGCAAUCGUGAAGAGUACGUCAACCGCCCCUGCUUGAAAGCAGAGCAGAGGGCGCGUCAACUGUCCUAAACCGAAUCGGAUCGUUUGGCUAACCAAACCGAUCGUAUAAGAAUUGGUGAAUGCGAAUUCCAAUUACUAAUAUUAUUAAUGUUAUACGUUUGGUUGUUUCGGACGCCUUGCGUCUUACGCUUUGCUUUCCUUUUGUCCUAUAAAU